rnacentral:tRNA from 2 species
GCGCCCUUAGCUCAGUGGUAGAGCGUUCGCUUGACAUGCGAAAGGCCGGAAGUCCGAUCCUUCCAGGGCGCACUA